GAUGAACGCUAGCUACAGGCUUAACACAUGCAAGUCGAGGGGCAUCAGGAAGAAAGCUUGCUUUCUUUGCUGGCGACCGGCGCACGGGUGAGUAACACGUAUCCAACCUGCCCUUUACUCGGGGAUAGCCUUUCGAAAGAAAGAUUAAUACCCGAUGGCAUAAUGAUUCCGCAUGGUUUCAUUAUUAAAGGAUUCCGGUAAAGGAUGGGGAUGCGUUCCAUUAGGUUGUUGGUGAGGUAACGGCUCACCAAGCCUUCGAUGGAUAGGGGUUCUGAGAGGAAGGUCCCCCACAUUGGAACUGAGACACGGUCCAAACUCCUACGGGAGGCAGCAGUGAGGAAUAUUGGUCAAUGGGCGCUAGCCUGAACCAGCCAAGUAGCGUGAAGGAUGAAGGCUCUAUGGGUCGUAAACUUCUUUUAUAUAAGAAUAAAGUGCAGUAUGUAUACUGUUUUGUAUGUAUUAUAUGAAUAAGGAUCGGCUAACUCCGUGCCAGCAGCCGCGGUAAUACGGAGGAUCCGAGCGUUAUCCGGAUUUAUUGAGUUUAAAGGGAGCGUAGGUGGACUGGUAAGUCAGUUGUGAAAGUUUGCGGCUCAACCGUAAAAUUGCAGUUGAUACUGUCAGUCUUGAGUACAGUAGAGGUGGGCGGAAUUCGUGGUGUAGCGGUGAAAUGCUUAGAUAUCACGAAGAACUCCGAUUGCGAAGGCAGCUCACUGGACUGCAACUGACACUGAUGCUCGAAAGUGUGGGUAUCAAACAGGAUUAGAUACCCUGGUAGUCCACACAGUAAACGAUGAAUACUCGCUGUUUGCGAUAUACAGUAAGCGGCCAAGCGAAAGCAUUAAGUAUUCCACCUGGGGAGUACGCCGGCAACGGUGAAACUCAAAGGAAUUGACGGGGGCCCGCACAAGCGGAGGAACAUGUGGUUUAAUUCGAUGAUACGCGAGGAACCUUACCCGGGCUUAAAUUGCAGUGGAAUGAUGUGGAAACAUGUCAGUGAGCAAUCACCGCUGUGAAGGUGCUGCAUGGUUGUCGUCAGCUCGUGCCGUGAGGUGUCGGCUUAAGUGCCAUAACGAGCGCAACCCUUAUCUUUAGUUACUAACAGGUUAUGCUGAGGACUCUAGAGAGACUGCCGUCGUAAGAUGUGAGGAAGGUGGGGAUGACGUCAAAUCAGCACGGCCCUUACGUCCGGGGCUACACACGUGUUACAAUGGGGGGUACAGAAGGCAGCUAGCGGGUGACCGUAUGCUAAUCCCAAAAGCCUCUCUCAGUUCGGAUCGAAGUCUGCAACCCGACUUCGUGAAGCUGGAUUCGCUAGUAAUCGCGCAUCAGCCACGGCGCGGUGAAUACGUUCCCGGGCCUUGUACACACCGCCCGUCAAGCCAUGGGAGCCGGGGGUACCUGAAGUACGUAACCGCAAGGAUCGUCCUAGGGUAAAACUGGUG
rnacentral:rRNA from 1 species